GUGCUUACUUCAGCAGCACAUAUAUAAAAAUGAAAUGGAAUGAUACAGAGAAGAUUAGCAUGGUCCCUGCUCAAGAUUAGCAUGGUCCCUGCUCAACAUGCAAAUUCAUGAAGAAUUCCAUAUUUUU
rnacentral:snRNA from 1 species